AACCCUUGAGAGUGGCGAACGGGUGAGUAAUAUAGUCGGAACGUGCCCAGUCGGUGGGGAUAACGUAGCGAAAGUUACGCUAAUACCGCAUACGAUCUAAGGAUGAAAGCGGGGGAUCGCAAGACCUCGCGCGAUUGGAGCGGCCGAUAUCAGAUUAGGUAGUUGGUGAGGUAAAGGCUCACCAAGCCAACGAUCUGUAGCUGGUCUGAGAGGACGACCAGCCACACUGGAACUGAGACACGGUCCAGACUCCUACGGGAGGCAGCAGUGGGGAAUUUUGGACAAUGGACGCAAGUCUGAUCCAGCCAUUCCGCGUGCAGGAUGAAGGCCCUCGGGUUGUAAACUGCUUUGUACGGAACGAAAAGGUUUGUCUUAAUACGAUGAGCUCAUGACGGUACCGUAAGAAUAAGCACCGGCUAACUACGUG
rnacentral:rRNA from 1 species